UCUCCUUAGUGAAUUUGGAAAGAUCUGUCCUAUUUAUUUCCACUGAUGUGUGUUCGCACCUAAAAAUGUUGCAGUUCUGCAAAACUGUUUAAUUCAGUUGCUCUCACUGGUGAUAGAAAGGUGUCUAAAAACCCUGAAGAGAGAAAUCUUUGUUCACCAAAUAUUGGCUCUUGUUUCCCUGACAGACUACCCACCACUGAAAACCUGGACAUGCUUCUCAUAGUUUAGAGAUAGAUAAACAUGGGCAAAGACUUGAUGUGAAGCAGGAAGAACUCGUUAACCCAUAAUGCCAUUACUGUGUCUUGUAAAGGGAAAUGCAAAUGCACAUAUGUUGUGUUUAGGACAGACAGAAAUUGCCUUAAUUAAAUCACAUUAAUGGAAAUUCACUCCUGGUACAAAUUUGUAGUUUGGAAUGUUCAGUUUGACUUUUUGAGCUAUUCAAAAUGCCUGCAGUCAAUCUAAUUUAAAGGAACAUGCUUCUGGAAUUUUCAGCCUUAAGCUUUAAGAAAUAGAUUUUAGUUUUCAAUAUAGAAUUUACUUCAUCAUACUGCUUAGUAUAAUAUUUGAUUAAUAAGGCUUAACAGCAAUUGUUCAUAAAACUGUAUUUUCACAUAUUAGCUAAAUUCAGUAGAAUAAUAAAUAUUUAUCCUGGUUUUAUUUUUCUGACUUUCACAGUUGUGGAGAUGUUAGCUGUUCCUGAGGUUUUUAUGACAAUAGUUCAAUUACACCUUUUACAUUCACAGGAAGAAUGCAAAAGGAAAGACCAAAAGACAUCUGAAAACAUCAAUUAAUGUGUUUAACACAUCAGAUUUUGAUGCACAGUUGUAGAAUCCUUUAUUUAAUUUUAGAAUUUUUAAUUUUCUGCUCUGUAAAUCUUUAUGUAAAAGUAAAUUUAUUUUCACCUAUACAGGGGUCACUUAAUGCCUAACUUGGACUAUUAAGAACCUGAAAGUAUGGUAGGAUAAAUCCAGACUUCUGCUCUAUCUAGUGUGUCCCAAACACUUCCUCUAAACUCAAUUGAUUUGAAAGCAAAUUCUUGCAAAUCUUUCAUGAAGUGUUAAAAUUAGGAGACAUGAUUCCAGUAAAAUCCUUUAUUUGAAUGCACAGUAGAAACCACAGCCAUAGUUCUGAAAAUUUCUGCCACAAUACUAAAGUAAUCAGGAAAGUGAUUGUGAUAGCUGAAUGACCCUUUGCAUUAGAUUAGUUGGACUAAUUAUUCUUAGAGAAAACUCUUGUGGUGUUUUUUCUUCAUCCCACUUAUAGGGAAAAUCCCUUAUUAGUAUCUAGUGCUGAAGGCAGUUAUGAUAAUAUGGAAUUUUCUUUUAGGUGAAGUUGAGAAUGAGCUACUUACAAAACAUCUAAACAUGUUUUGUUUAAACAUGUUUUGUUUAAACAGGAGGGAGUCCUCACAAAAUCCAAAGCUAAUGAAAUCCAAAUUUUGAAUCUGUCUGGAUUUAUCCCUUAAUGUAGUUAGAAAUCUAAUAAUUGAUCAUUAGAUAACAAACCAGGACAUAUAAGCUACAAUAAACAUUAUUCUCAGCUCUGGUAUUCACUAAACACAAUGUAUAUCAAACUAAGUAAGUAUUUUGGCAGUAACUCAGAUAUAUCAAGCAAGCAGUGCCUGAAACCAACAUCAGAAAAGGAUGUAAAAACAAACAUACUGAAAUCACAGAAUACAGCAAGAAUAUACACAUUAAUGACUCCAACAGUUUGUAGCUGCAUGGUGUCUACAGAAGUGAAAUUCCUUAAAAAUUCAAAGGAACAAAGCUAAUAGGAAAUUAUUAAUUGACAAUGAUAACUGCAAAGUAUAAGCAACACAAUUUAAAUAUUCAGUGGCGAUUAAGGCAUAAUUUAUGUAAAAGUCACAGAUUAUCAGAAAUUAAUAUUAAAGGGCAAUAAUACAGAGUAAAUUAUUUGAAAAUAUCUCAUUCACUGUUUGAGAUGAAAGGAGAUGUACUUGCUGAUUUUUCAUAGGACUUAGAAAAGAGAGAAAAAUAUAUAGAUUGUGUAUCUGCUUCUUUAUAUAUUUUUAAAAUUAUUGCUGUCCAGAAGGAUGAGAAUGACACUGAGACAAUGAAGUGCCACAUAUAAUACUUCUAACUAUUCUGAUUACUUACUGAAUUUAAAGUUAACCCCUCAUCAUUCCCAUAUAGAAUUAAAAGACAUACCUCAAAAAUUAUGUACAGCCUUAUUGAAUUGGUACAUUUCACAACCGACUACCUGUUCCCUUUUCAUUCUGAGGCAAUAGCUGUGAGUAAAUGGGAAGGAGGAGGAGGGAAGAGUGAAAUUUUGAAAUUUUGAUUUUUUUGAAGAGCUAAAGUACUCUAGGUG
ensembl:lncRNA